rnacentral:rRNA from 1 species
GUUGUAUGGUUAAGUGACGAAGCGUAUACGGUGGAUGCCUUGGCAGUUAGAGGCGAUGAAGGACGUGUAAGUCUGCGAAAAGCUGUGGUGAGCCGACAAAAUGCAUUUGAGCCACAGAUGUCCGAAUGGGGAAACCCACCUGUUUACAGGUAUCGUUACAUGAAUACAUAGCGUAACGAGGCGAACGAGGGGAACUGAAACAUCUAAGUACCCUUAGGAAAAGAAAUCAAACGAGAUUCCCCUAGUAGCGGCGAGCGAACGGGGAACAGCCCUUAAGCUGUUUAGUGUGUAGUGGAAUCCUUUGGGAAGAGGAGCGAUACAGGGUGAUAGCCCCGUACACAAAGCGUGCUUUACAGUGAAAUCGAGUAGGUCGGGACACGUGUUAUCUUGACUGAAUAUGGGGGGACCAUCCUCCAAGGCUAAAUACUCCCAGCUGACCGAUAGUGAACCAGUACCGUGAGGGAAAGGCGAAAAGAACCCCUGUGAGGGGAGUGAAAUAGAACCUGAAACCGUAUGCGUACAAGCAGUGGGAGCAUACUUGUUAUGUGACUGCGUACCUUUUGUAUAAUGGGUCAGCGACUUACAUCUCAGUGGCAAGCUUAACCAAUCGGGUAGGCGUAGGGAAACCGAGUCUUAAUAGGGCGAAUUAGUCGCUGGGAGUAGACCCGAAACCGGGCGAUCUAUCCAUGGCCAGGUUGAAGGUGAGGUAACACUCACUGGAGGACCGAACCCACCUAUGUUGAAAAAUGGGGGGAUGAGCUGUGGAUCGGAGUGAAAGGCUAAUCAAGCCCGGAGAUAGCUGGUUCUCCUCGAAAGCU